rnacentral:lncRNA from 1 species
UCUACUACAUUAUGCUUAUUACUUAAUGUGUAACCCAUUUAUAAAUUGCAAAGAAUUUUACAACAUAGCAUAAAAAUAUUAGGCACGGUACCGCUCUCCACCGGCCGCCGAACGGUACCGUGCCUGGAUUUAUUUGACAAGGUCUACUACUAAAAACCUCUAACGGAGCACAGCCUGAACUAUACAAACGAGGACAAGCGUACACCUGUAAUAAAAAUUAUUGUAAUUGUCGUCUUGUAAUAUGAAUUUAAACAAGACUAGUGAAAAUAAUACAAUACCUCUUCGUCCAAAGACAAUUAAUGGUACGGUUCCGUCUUUUAGUUGAUCCCUCGUAACGCUGAAAAAUUACAUCAUUGCCAACGGACCGAUGGCGGAAAUAGAUUUGUUUGUU